ACACUACAAAUCUAAAGUUGAAAGCUCAGGGUACGGUAAUGACAGAUGGAAACUUCAUUACAGAAAGCAAUGAAGAACACCCAAGUGGUAAAUAUGUGGCUGGUCUUGGCUCAUUCCUGCUCCUCCCUGCUAGUAUCUCAAAGCCACCUUACAGGAAUGUAGAAGCCACACUACCCAAUUACCACAACUCAAAGGAUAAAUGUCAACAUCUAUACAAAGUAUUGUCAGAAAGAGUGUGAAAAAAAGAAGUGAACCUGAAAGCUGAUUCUCCCCCAGAGCCUUUGAUGGGAAUUCAGCCCAGCUGACACCUUGAUGUCCACCUUGUGAUACCUUGAGAAGAAUCCCUGCCCCACCAUGCUGAACUUUUGAUCUACAAAACUGUGAGCUAAUAAAUGGAUGUUGUUUUAAGCAGCUAAGUUUGUGGUAAUGUGUUACACAGCAAUAGAAAACUAACAUACAUGGUUAUUUAUAUUAUUGUAGCUAUAUCUUUUACAUAUGCUGUAAAUAUU